rnacentral:rRNA from 1 species
GGUGGAAUUUUCCGCAAUGGGCGAAAGCCUGACGGAGCAACGCCGCGUGAGGGAGGAAGGCCUGUGGGUUGUAAACCUCUUUUCUCAGGGAAGAAGUUCUGACGGUACCUGAGGAAUCAGCAUCGGCUAACUCCGUGCCAGCAGCCGCAGUAAGACGGAGGAUGCAAGCGUUAUCCGGAAUUAUUGGGCGUAAAGCGUCCGUAGGCGGUUCAGAAAGUCUGCUGUUAAAGCUCACAGCUCAACUGUGAAUCGGCAGUGGAAACUUCUGGACUAGAGAGUGGUAGGGGUAGAGGGAAUUCCUAGUGUAGCGGUGAAAUGCGUAGAUAUUAGGAAGAACACCAGUGGCGAAGGCGCUCUACUGGGCCAUUACUGACGCUGAUGGACGAAAGCUAGGGGAGCGAAAGGGAUUAGAUACCCCUGUAGUCCUAGCUGUAAACGAUGGACACUAGGUGUUGGCCGUAUCGACCCGGUCAGUAUCGAAGCAAACGCGUUAAGUGUCC